AGAGUUUGAUCAUGGCUCAGAUUGAACGCUGGCGGCAGGCUUAACACAUGCAAGUCGAGCGGAGACUUCGGUCUUAGCGGCGAACGGGUGAGUAAUACCUAGGAAUCUGCCUAUUAGUGGGGGAUAACGAAUCGAAAGGUUCGCUAAUACCGCAUACGUCCUACGGGAGAAAGGGGGGGGAUCUUCGGACCUCUCGCUAAUAGAUGAGCCUAGGCCGGAUUAGCUAGUUGGUAGGGUAAAGGCCUACCAAGGCGACGAUCUGUAGCUGGUCUGAGAGGAUGGCCAGCCACACUGGAACUGAGACACGGUCCAGACUCCUACGGGAGGCAGCAGUGGGGAAUAUUGGACAAUGGGGGCAACCCUGAUCCAGCCAUGCCGCGUGUGUGAAGAAGGCCUUCGGGUUGUAAGGCACUUUAAGCGAGGAGGAAGGUUUUUAGUUUAAUACACUAAAGAAUUGACGUUACUCGCAGAAUAAGCACCGGCUAACUCUGUG
rnacentral:rRNA from 1 species